rnacentral:RNase_P_RNA from 1 species
AGAGAAAGCCGGAUGGUCGCCGGCCGCGUCAUGCGGCGGGAGGAAAGUCCGGGCUCCGCAGGGCAGGGUGCUGGGUAACGCCCAGGGGGGGAGACCCCACGGACCAGUGCCACAGAAAGCAGACCGCCGCCACCAGCUCAAAGCUGGUGAGGUAAGGGUGAAACGGUGAGGUAAAAGCUCACCAGCGGUGCGGGUGACCGCGCCGGCUCGGCAAACCCCACCCGGAGCAAGGCCGAAUAGGGGAGCUAUGGAGUGGCCCGCUCCGCUCCCGGGUCAGGCCGCUGGAGACGCCGGGCAACCGGCGCCCUAGAGAAAUGACCGUCAGGGUCAGCAAUGGCCCGACAGAACCCGGCUUACAGGCUUUCUCUGGCG